rnacentral:misc_RNA from 1 species
AUUAUUGCACAGAAAAGAAAACUUUUACAAACGGUUUUAAUUCGGUGAACAGAGACUAUAAUGAUGUUGUAACAUUUUUAGGAAUCGUAGGAAGACCUGAAUUGAGUGACAGAGAUAGAGAAAUAGAGAGUAAAAGAAUGUGCGGGUGCAAGGAUAAAUGGUUGUGGAGAAUGGUAGUUGAGAACGAGAGUUUUUGAGAGAGAGUUUGUUGGAUAGUUGAGAAGGAGUUUGUCAGAGAAUUUGACAGAGAGUUUAAUCGAAUAGCACGUGAAAUAUAUGUAUCUAAAUAAUUACUAUUAGUGUGAAUAUAAUUACCAUUUUGGUAUUUAAAGUAUUUCUGUAAUGUAAUAUAAAUGCAAGGUGGUAAAUUGAUAUCUAAU